rnacentral:lncRNA from 1 species
AAAAUCAACACAAAAUUGCCCUGCGCAAACUCUCACAACUUGAGAUCUUUUUCUUUUCCUUUUUCGCUGACACAUCUUCCGUUGGCAUCAACAGCACUGUGGAAGCAACCGGUGAUAUCUUAAGUCGGCAUAGAUAGCUCUGUCACCGUAGAAUUGGUCGGUCUCGCAGUAUCUUCCGUUGGCAUCAACAGCACUGCGGCGAGAACGGUCGAUUACCUAUCCAAGUCUCGGUCGAGAAGGGUUUUCGAAUCCUUGUUGGUCGAGGUCAUCUCAUUAGCCUUCUCGGCGAGGUGAGGUGUCACAGUUAUUACAUUCGGCACAUUGAAAGCCGAAUUCGGUUCGUGAACUUUGUAAGAAAUAGCAGCCUUGUCUUCAGGCUCGAGAACCCAAGAGGCCGAGACGUGUUCCUUUCUCGGCCGCAAUCGCAAGACGCAGAAGUCAGUAGCGCGACCCAACGCAACAUCAUCAAAUUUACUCCUCGGCCGAGCCUCGGCCGACGAGUUGGCACGCCCCGCAAUCACCGAAGGACGUAGUUAGCUUAGAAUAUACUCGGCCUGCGCGCCACGUAGGCUUGGUAGUUUCUAGGGUCAACAUUUUGGCACGCCCAGUGGGACCUAGUGCUAAAACUACGAAGUUCACAUGAUAGAUCAAGAUGUCAAUCUAGCUCCAUUUAGCCGAUUACACGAGCUCCUAGAGGAAUUGAAAAAAUACAAUGAGGAACAAAAAAGAUCUUUGGAAGUGGAAAAAGUUCUUCGUGGCCAUAGAGAGAUGCAAAAGUCAUUCGCUUACAUGGUGAGAAUAAAAGCUCCUGUUACCUUGCAAGAGCAAUGGGUAAAUGAAGACAGGGCUCGAUUUAAUGCAUGGCUAGAUGAAGAACGUUUUCCUUACGUUUCUGAUUACAGAUCAAUUCCAUUUGAAAAAUGGUUAGGUCCAAAGGUCGGGGGGCAAUUUUUCGCUCCAGCCACAAUCAAAAUUCGGCCUCAAAAAAUUGUUAAGGUGGCCGAAGAAAUAUGUAAGCCACCUGUUGUUUCGGUCGAGACUCAAAGUGUGGUAGGCCUAAAAGAAAAAGUUGAAGUUUCCGAGCCAAAAAUCGACUCAAAAAAUAAUUCGUCAGAAGAGUGCUCCAAUGACGAACAGUGCCAAGACAUGGUCUUAGAUGCCGAAACUAUGACAAUCGAUAUGGUUAUUGGUGAUAAAGCCGAUAUGGAGAAAUCUCAUUCGGCUAAGUUGCUCGAGUUAAAAGCCAAAAUUGGUGAAAUAAUUAUGCCCGGGGGGCAUAAUAAUUGUUCAACACAUUCAGCAGCCGAUGAUAAAAAAUAUUUCGCCAAGUCAAAAAUAUUUGGAGGAAAUUCUUUAUUCGGCCUAGAGCGAAAUCAAUUUGAAGAUUUUGUUAUUACAAGAUCUCGACUUGGAAUAAAGCAUCGUUGGCCUCCUCCUGACUACGGUUCGGCCACUUUUCUUUUCGUUUGUUAAAUAUAUAUAUUAUUUUCUUAAACAUACGGCUAUGCAAGCCGAUGCGUAAGAAAAUAGGGGGCAAUGCCUCGGUAAAAAUUUUGAUCGAAUAAAAGAAAGUUUGGCCGAGUACGAUGAGUUUGGCCGCAUAUAUAUAUACCAAUUCCCCUCGGCCUCGACUUCGGCUCACUUUACAAAAUUAUAAAAGAGGCGGCCAAAGGAUUUUAGUCAGGCAUGGGACCUUUCUGCUUCGGAGCUCAUCAUUCUUUAUUGCAUCACCUCAAAUUUUCUACCAAGAUCAUGGAGUUAUGUUCCUUGCGUAUCAACAGUACAGGCCGAACCAAAAUGACGGCCUGAUAAUCUACAGUUUAGAACAACCAAUAUGGUCCGUGGAAGGCAAGAGGAUUCUGCUCUCGACCAUAUAUAUUUUCGACCAUAGCUUUGGUCAUCAAAUUAAGGUGGUUAGUCGUUAAGCCAAAAAAUGUGAUAAAAAUUUGCAUGGCCGACAACAUUAUUCCAAGGCCAAGAUUUGAUUUUGUGUGUGUGUGCAUAUAUAUAUAUAUGCAUAGCUAAUGAUGUUGGUCUUCGGCCACUCUAAGACCUCGGCCAAUGAUGAGUCCCUCGACCACUAAGCAUAUGGCUAAUGAUCCUCGGCCACUCAAUAAUAAACCUCGGCCAACGAUGAUGUUCCUCGGCCAACUUUUUGCCGAUAUAUGUUAGCCAAGAGGGUUGGUCAAUAACAAAUACUGGGGAAAUCGCCGAGCUGGGCACAAAUGACUAAUUUCCUUAACCGUUCGGCUUACGGGCUGAAGCUCAAGGAAACUGGGGGGCAAUGUUUGGACCCGAUUUUACACCAUCGGCCCAAGUAAUCGAGGCCGUUGGGUAAGCAAUUUUAAAGGAUAGUAUUAUGAUUUUUAUCGUAAUAUUUAUCCGUUAAUAUUAAUUACUCUUGGCAUAUUCUUAUUAUAUUUUCAAGCAAGCAGUACAGUUCGAGUGGGCUUGGAAUUCUUGUUAUCAGAUUGAGAUAACAUGAUGGGUGUGAUUAGAAUUGUCAAGAUGCAUGGUUUUCUUCUAUGCGUUGGAUGCCAAGAUGAAAUCUCUGAUAAUGGAGCCGCUCAUAUCCUAGAUGGGAUAAUUAUUAGCAUAAAAAUAUAUGCUAAUAUAUGCAAAUUGGUUGGCUGACUCCAUCAAAUCCUACGGCCAAGGACCAAUAAGGAUGUGGAGAUUUUGAAUUAAACAAAGUUUUAUUUGGUUGGAUAACUGCAUGAUGACCUCAUGCGAUUAUAUUUGUUUGAUCCCGUCAAACAUGGAUGCUUUUUCAUGGUCUUUUAAAUUGGUAAUGAUCCAAUUUGAGAUAAGGGUUGAUGGGAGUUUAAUCCGCACAUGCAAACCACGCCACAUAUCAAAUACAAUUCUUUGAAGAUCAAGCCACGUUAGGCAUGCUCGUUCCUAUAAAUACAAGGCUACAAACAAUGGAAAAAGCCCCGACAAAAUCAACACAAAAUUGCCCUGCGCAAACUCUCACAACUUGAGAUCUUUUUCUUUUCCUUUUUCGCUGACACAUCUUCCGUUGGCAUCAACAGCACUGUGGAAGCAACCGGUGAUAUCUUAAGUCGGCAUAGAUAGCUCUGUCACCGUAGAAUUGGUCGGUCUCGCAGUAUCUUCCGUUGGCAUCAACAGCACUGCGGCGAGAACGGUCGAUUACCUAUCCAAGUCUCGGUCGAGAAGGGUUUUCGAAUCCUUGUUGGUCGAGGUCAUCUCAUUAGCCUUCUCGGCGAGGUGAGGUGUCACAGUUAUUACAUUCGGCACAUUGAAAGCCGAAUUCGGUUCGUGAACUUUGUAAGAAAUAGCAGCCUUGUCUUCAGGCUCGAGAACCCAAGAGGCCGAGACGUGUUCCUUUCUCGGCCGCAAUCGCAAGACGCAGAAGUCAGUAGCGCGACCCAACGCAACAUCAUCAAAUUUACUCCUCGGCCGAGCCUCGGCCGACGAGUUGGCACGCCCCGCAAUCACCGAAGGACGUAGUUAGCUUAGAAUAUACUCGGCCUGCGCGCCACGUAGGCUUGGUAGAUUUUAGGGUCAACAGUACUAUUGUGUGUAUUUGUAUGCAUGGGAGACAUGGAAUGGUGAAUGAAUAAUACGACUCUAUGCACUUAUGUAGCUUCCAUAUAUAGCUUAUUGAUGAUGAAAUUUACAUGGUUUUGGGUCGAGAUUUCGUAAGAAACACUCUUAGGCAUUUGAGCUACAAGUAUCUUGUCGAUAUAGAAAAUUAUAGUUACUGAAGUGUACUAGAUUCACAGUUUAGUAAUUAUAAUGAGAAAUAAAUAAGUAGAGAAUUUAGAGUUACAAGAGUAUGUUUAUAAAAGUAUAAAACUACGUAGUUUUUCAAUAUAAAUACAAUAUUAUCAUGGAAAAUAAAUGAGAAAAAUUUAGGAUACAAUAAGCCCUCGAGUUUAGGUCAUAUCUGAAAAUGGGUUAGGCUUAGGCAUACAAAUUAUUUGAUUCCUUCCAUUGUAAUUUAAAAGAAUUCGGGUACAAUACUGAUGUUAUCGUCGAGUAUGAAAACUGCCGUAUAAAACAUUAAUUUGUUGUUAAUUCUUUUUCUUUAUUUAUUGCGACAACAAUAUUUGAGUAGAGUGGAAAUUUCAGUUGUCACUUAUCAAUCAUAUUUUGUCAUCAAACUCAACACGUAUGAGCAUGACUUCUACUAGAAACGAAGGUGGGUGCCACUAAGCUGUGAUUAUACUCUGACAAUUUGUUUUUAUGCAACUAUAAAUUUAGAGCAGAUUGUUGACAUGGGAGUACUUGUUUGGUUGGGUGAGCUAACCACCAACAUUUAUUUUGAGCAUACCAGCUUAUACGGCGUUGCUUUUAUCUAGAGGGCGGUCGUUGCAAUCAGUCCAUAACGUUUGGCGAGAAAAGUCGUCCAAUAUAUAUUUUGUUGUUCAGUUUCGGAGUAAUACUGUACCUCUCAGUGGCUCUUUCCUCAUGUUAUGGAUCGUAUUAUAAGACCCGAAUAAUUUUAGAAAGUUUAAUGUGUUGUAAAUAGUAUAAUAUGUAUGCCCACAUGCAUACAGUGAACAUGUCAUAUGUUUAACAGUAUUUUUGUUUGUUUCCAUGGUGAUGCUCUAUAAAUAGAGCUUUACGAAUGUUCAACAAAGCAGAGAAAAAAGGAAGAGAAAAAUAUCUAAUUGUAAUAAUAUACAUUACUUCCUCUGCAACAGCUUGUGUUGGUAUAAUACUCUACAACUGCUUCGUUCCUGUCCCGAAUAAAGGUUAUCUCUCUAUAACUUUUACAUUUUUAUAACACGUUAUCAGCACGAGUCUCUAAGUAUAACCAUGUCUCAUUUACAUUCACUAAACAAUAAAGGAAAUCAUUCUCUCAUUUCUCUCCGCCGAACGAAAAAAAAAAAAAAUGUUUCCUCUAAGGUUUUUCCUGUUCAUCUUCUUCAUCUGCCUCAACUGCGCGGUAUAUCCU